ACUGAGCCAUCUCGAGUAGGUCCUAUUGAUUCAUCUUUACUUACGAGUUUUAAAACUCACAUAGUAGCUGCAAUUUGGAAUAACCAGGUAAGUUGUUUUACUGUAACAAUAGAAGGCAAAAUAUAAGUCUGGAUAAUGGUAAUUAACCUUCUUUUUUUUUUUUUUUUUUUUUUUGGUAUUUGACUAGGAACGUGAGCUCCUUAGGUGCAUGUCGACAAGAAUGGGCAUCCACAUCACCAAUAUUGACACCUUUUAACAAGAAUUAGCAUCCACAUUUCUUGGUACCACUGUCCCUAGCACACUUUUUCGUAUCAUCAUUUGCAUCUGACCGUACAUCAGUUGUCUCACUAGACUUGCAAGACUUAUAGUUAUCGCUUCUCUCACAAGCAAGUAUUAGUCUAGGUCUCCUUUUACCCUCACCUUCAUAAUCAGACCUUCUAAUUACAAUUACAAUAUUAUUCAUUUUUCCUUGUGCAUGAGCCCAUCUAAUUAAUUCAUCUCUACCAUUAAAUAUCUACACAUUAAACUCAUGUUAUUUAAAGUUA
rnacentral:lncRNA from 1 species